rnacentral:rRNA from 1 species
AUUGAACGCUGGCGGAAUGCUUUACACAUGCAAGUCGAUCGGCAGCACGGACUUCGGUCUGGUGGCGAGUGGCGAACGGGUGAGUAAUACAUCGGAACGUGCCCAAUCGUGGGGGAUAACGUAGCGAAAGCUACGCUAAUACCGCAUACGAUCUAAGGAUGAAAGCGGGGGGUCGCAAGACCUCGCGCGAUUGGAGCGGCCGAUGGCAGAUUAGGUAGUUGGUAGGGUAAAGGCCUACCAAGCCGACGAUCUGUAGCUGGUCUGAGAGGAUGAUCAGCCACACUGGGACUGAGACACGGCCCAGACUCCUACGGGAGGCAGUAGUGGGGAAUUUUGGACAAUGGACGCAAGUCUGAUCCAGCCAUUCCGCGUGCAGGAUGAAGGCCCUCGGGUUGUAAACUGCUUUUGUACAGAACGAAAAGGCUCUGGUUAAUACCUAGGGCUCAUGACGGUACUGUAAGAAUAAGCACCGGCUAACUACGUGCCAGCCGCCGCGGUAA